rnacentral:misc_RNA from 1 species
CCCGCGAAAGCGGGGACCCAUAACCACCGGAUUUUCAUUUUGGAAAAAUGCGGACAAAGAAGCCGCCGGAAAACGGGACUUAAGGGAGGAUGGGGCCCCGCUUUCGCGGGGGCGACCCCGUGNGUUGUAAAUUAUGCCCGGGCGAAGAUCGCUCGAGGAAAAGAGAAGCUCAGUGCCCCUCGCCUUCGGGCGGAUUGUCGUCGCCGAUAUCGCCGACAUGCUUCUGUUCGUAAAGC